GUACUCGCUUCGGCGGUACAUAUACUAAAAUAUGAACGAUACAGAGAAGAUUAGCGUGGCCCCUGCGCAACGAUGACACGCAAAAUAGUGAAGGGUUCUACAUUAGU